rnacentral:rRNA from 1 species
GAUGAACGCUAGCUACAGGCUUAACACAUGCAAGUCGAGGGGAAACGAUAGAGAAGCUUGCUUUUUCUAGGCGUCGACCGGCGCACGGGUGAGUAACGCGUAUCCAACCUGCCCACCACUUGGGGAUAACCUUGCGAAAGUAAGACUAAUACCCAAUGACGUCUCUAGAAGACAUCUGAAAGAGAUUAAAGAUUUAUCGGUGAUGGAUGGGGAUGCGUCUGAUUAGCUUGUUGGCGGGGUAACGGCCCACCAAGGCGACGAUCAGUAGGGGUUCUGAGAGGAAGGUCCCCCACAUUGGAACUGAGACACGGUCCAAACUCCUACGGGAGGCAGCAGUGAGGAAUAUUGGUCAAUGGACGAGAGUCUGAACCAGCCAAGUAGCGUGCAGGAUGACGGCCCUAUGGGUUGUAAACUGCUUUUAUAAGGGAAUAAAGUGGGAGUCGUGACUCUUUUUGCAUGUACCUUAUGAAUAAGGACCGGCUAAUUCCGUG